CACCAGACUCCUACGGGAGGCAGCAGUGGGGAAUAUUGCACAAUGGGGGAAACCCUGAUGCAGCGACGCCGCGUGAGCGAUGAAGUAUUUCGGUAUGUAAAGCUCUAUCAGCAGGGAAGAAAAUGACGGUACCUGACUAAGAAGCCCCGGCUAACUAUGUGCCAGCAGCCGCGGUAAUACGUAGGGGGCAAGCGUUAUCCGGAUUUACUGGGUGUAAAGGGAGCGUAGACGGCAAUGCAAGCCAGAUGUGUAAGCCCGGGGCUCAACCCCGGGACUGCAUUUGGAACUGUGUAGCUGGAGUGUCGGAGAGGCAGGCGGAAUUCCUAGUGUAGCGGUGAAAUGCGUAGAUAUUAGGAGGAACACCAGUGGCGAAGGCGACUUUCUGGACGAUAACUGACGUUGAGGCACGAAAGUGUGGGGAGCAAACAGGAUUAGAUACCCGCGUA
rnacentral:rRNA from 1 species